rnacentral:rRNA from 1 species
AGUCGAGCGGGGAGCAAUCCCAGCGGCGAACGGUUGAGUAACACGUAGGCAACCUGCCUCGCAGUGGGGGACAACCCAUGGAAACGUGGGCUAAUACCGCAUGGGGUCGGAGAGCGCCUGCUCUCCGUACUAAAGGAGCAAUCCGCUGCGUGAGGGGCCUGCGGCCUAUCAGCUUGUUGGUGAGGUGACGGCUCACCAAGGCGACGACGGGUAGCUGGUCUGAGAGGAUGAUCAGCCAGACAGGGACUGAGACACGGCCCUGACUCCUUUGGGGGGCAGCAAUGAGGGAUAUUGCACAAUGGGCGAAAGCCUGAUGCAGCGACGCCGCGUGGGCGAUGAAGUCCUUCGGGAUGUAAAGCCCUUUUCUCGGGGACGAUCAGGACGGUACCCGAGGAAGAAGCCCCGGCUAACUACGUGCCAGCAGCCGCGGUAAUACGUAGGGGGCGAGCGUUGUCCGGAUUUACUGGGC